rnacentral:rRNA from 1 species
CCCUUAGAUGUUCUGGGCGGCACGCGCGCUACACUGAAGCGUUCAACGAGUAUUCACCUUGCCCGGGAGGGUUGGGUAAUCUUUUGAAAACGCUUCGUGAUGGGGAUAGAUUAUUGCAAUUAUUAAUCUUCAACGAGGAAUUCCUAGUAAGCGCGAGUCAUCAGCUCGCGUUGAUUACGUCCCUGCCCUUUGUACACACCGCCCGUCGCUCCUACCGAUUGAGUGUGUUGGUGAGGAGUUCGGAUUGGCAGCAGGUGGUGGUUCGCCACCGCCUAUUGCUGAGAAGUUCUCCAAACCGCCCCACUUAGAGGAAGGAGAAGUCGUAACA